AACGAACGCUGGCGGCAGGCUUAACACAUGCAAGUCGAGCGCCCCGCAAGGGGAGCGGCAGACGGGUGAGUAACACGUGGGAAUCUACCCAUCCCUGCGGAACAACUCCGGGAAACUGGA
rnacentral:rRNA from 1 species